UUACCGGUCUGCGACGCUACUGCUUUGGGUACUUUCAGGACCCGUCUUGAAACACGGACCAAGGAGUCUAACAUGUGCGCGAGUCAUUGGGUUAUUGCUCAAGCAAUGAAUUCGAUAAGCCUAAAGGCGCAAUGAAAGUGAAGAUCGACCUUCGCGUCGAUCGAGGGAGGAUGGCCGAAGUUCGCUUCGGUCCGCACUCCCGGGGCGUCUCACGGUCGUCACGACCAGAGGCGCACCCAGAGCGUACACGUUGGGACCCGAAAGAUGGUGAACUAUGCCUGGUCAGGACGAAGUCAGGGGAAACCCUGAUGGAGGUCCGUAGCGAUUCUGACGUGCAAAUCGAUCGUCGGAACUGGGUAUAGGGGCGAAAGACUAAUCGAACCAUCUAGUAGCUGGUUCCCUCCGAAGUUUCCCUCAGGAUAGCUGGCACUCGCUCGAUAGCGCGAGUCUCAUCUGGUAAAGCGAAUGAUUAGAGGCCUUGGGGCCGAAACGACCUCAACCUAUUCUCAAACUUUAAAUGGGUGAGAUCUCUGGCUUGCUUGAACGCUUCGUGAAGCCAGUAGAUCGCGGCUCGUCGCGGUUGACCGCGCGGCGGGUACGCAUUAUGGAUCAGAGUGCCAAGUGGGCCAAUUUUGGUAAGCAGAACUGGCGCUGUGGGA
rnacentral:rRNA from 1 species